UCGAGAAUCUUCCGCAAUGGACGCAAGUCUGACGGAGCGACGCCGCGUGGAUGAUGAAGUACUUAGGUAUGUAAAAUCCUUUUGCCAGGGAGAAAGUUUAUUGAUAGUACCUGGCGAAUAAGAGGUUGCUAAACUCGUGCCAGCAGCAGCGGUAAUACGAGUGCCUCAAGCGUUAUCCGGAAUUAUUGGGCGUAAAGGUUGUGUAGGUGGUAAUGUUAGUCUCUUGUAAAAUUCUACGGCUUAACCGGGG
rnacentral:rRNA from 1 species